CAGUAGCCACGGGAAUACGAGGGGGGCAAGUGUUGUUCGGAAUUAUUGGGCGUAAAGGGUGCGUAGGCGGUUUCGUAAGUCUGAUGUGAAAUCUAUGGGCUCAACCCAUAGUCUGCAUCGGAAACUGCGAGGCUUGAGAGUGGGAGAGGUGAGUGGAAUUUCCGGUGUAGCGGUGAAAUGCGUAGAGAUGUGGAGGAACACCAGGGGCGAAGGCGACUCCCUGGUCUGUAACUGGCGCUGAGGAGCGAAAGCGUGGGGAGCGAACAGGAUUAGAGACCCCCGUAGUCCCUGUCUCUUAUAA
rnacentral:rRNA from 1 species